rnacentral:lncRNA from 1 species
AUGAUAAUAUCAUCAUCGUCCUCCUCGUCAUUAUCUUCAUCAUUAUCAUCAUUAUCACUAUCACCAUUACCACCAUUAAUAAAAUAUCCAUUAUGUUUCAUACUAUUAUUUAAUCUAUUAUUAUUAAUUAUUGUUGUUAUAUUACACAAUCCUUUUUCACUUAUAUUAUUAUUACUAUUAUUGUUCAUAUUAUUAUUAUUUAACAUAUUUAAAUUUUCGUUUAUAUUUGAAGAUAUACAAGAAAAACAAGAAAAAAGGGAACUCUUUCUUUUAUCUAAUAUUUUGGGUUCAGCUUCAUCUAAAGAUACGUAUGAUAAAACAGAACUAUUAUCACUAUUGCAACCAGUGUUGUUUCUACCACCAUUACUACCAGUAUCACUGUUGUUAUUAUCAUAGUCAUCACUACUGUUACCACCACCACUUGUGUUGGUUACAUUAAAAUUAUUUAUGUUACUUAUAUUAUUUAUGUUGCUUAUAUUAUUUAUGUUGCUUAUGUUAUUUAUGUUACUUAUGUUAUUGUUGUUAGUAUUAUCUUCUAAAUAUGGUGGUGAUGAGUUCGCUAAUGAUAUUUUUGAUUUUUUUUUUUUUUUUUCUUAUUCUUAUUGUCAUCUUUGUCAUUAUUUAUAUCACCAUCUUUGUCGUUAUUUAUAUUACCAUCUUUGUCGUUAUUUAUAUUGCCAUUUUUAUCGUUAUUUAUAUUGCCAUUUUUAUCGUUAUUUAUAUUGUUAUUAUUAUUAACAAAUUGGCUAGUCUCGUCAAACUUAUUAUAAUACAUGUUUUGUUCUCCAGUGUUAUCAACAUGUUUUGUCACAAAAUUAUUCAUAUUAAUUGAAUCAACAUUUUUAUAAAUAUGUCCAUUAUUUUGGCUCCCAUUAUUUUGGCACCCAUUAUUUUGGCACCCAUUAUUUUGGCACCUAUUACUUUCAUCAUUUUCUUCUUUAUUUUCUUCUUUAUUUUCUUCUUUAUUUUCUUCUUUAUUUUUAUUUUUAUCUUUAUCUUUGUCGCUAUCUUUAUCAAUUCCCUUUUUAUUAUUUUCUAAAUUUGCAUUACUAUUUGUAUUACUAUUUUUGCUAUUAAUUAUAUUUUUACCUUCUGGAAAAGUGUUAGGGGACUCUGCUUUAUAUUUAAUAUUCGAUUUUUGUGAUGACCCAAUAUAUGAACAAUUUAUUGGGCUUUUUUUUUUAUCAUUAUUAAUAUUUGUUCCAUUUUUAUAUGACCAUUCAGGUUGACCCAUAUAAUUUAAAUACUCAUUUCUUAGGUGAGAUGUUAUACCAUGUAAAGCAAAAAUAUAAGCCUUAGGAUUUUUAGCUUUCCAUGCAUAUCUAGCUAUUUUUAAAUUAUCCUUAUUGACAAAAUAAUAUAUUUCAGGAUUUCCAUCAUCAUAUAUAAUACUCUU